UCCCAAGGGUAUGGCUGUUCGCCAUUUAAAGUGGUACGCGAGCUGGGUUUAGAACGUCGUGAGACAGUUCGGUCCCUAUCUGCCGUGGGCGCUGGAGAACUGAGGGGGGCUGCUCCUAGUACGAGAGGACCGGAGUGGACGCAUCACUGGUGUUCGGGUUGUCAUGCCAAUGGCACUGCCCGGUAGCUAAAUGCGGAAGAGAUAAGUGCUGAAAGCAUCUAAGCACGAAACUUGCCCCGAGAUGAGUUCUCCCUGAGACUUAGAGUCUCCUGAAGGAACGUUAAAGACGAUGACGUUGAUAGGCCGGGUGUGUAAGCGCAGCGAUGCGUUGAGCUAACCGGUACUAAUGAACCGUGAGGCUUAACCUUACAACGCCGAAG
rnacentral:rRNA from 1 species